rnacentral:tRNA from 1 species
GCAUCUGUGGUUCAGUGGUAGAAUUCUUGCCUUCCAUGAAAGAGACCUGGUUUCGAUUUCUGGCUGAUACA